CUCAAUUUUCUCAAAUUUACACCAUUGUGUUUGAAAAGUAACCUGUUUUUUUUUCUUCUCUCUCGCCUGAUCUUCUCUAAGUUCUGUAUACAAUGUCGGAUGGUCAGGAGAGUGAUAAGAACAUUGAGAUAUGGAAGAUUAAAAAACUUAUCAAGGCACUGGAAGCUGCUAGAGGCAAUGGCACCAGCAUGAUUUCACUUAUCAUGCCUCCACGUGAUCAAGUAUCUCGUGUUACCAAGAUGCUUGGAGAUGAGUUUGGAACUGCAUCAAAUAUUAAGAGCAGAGUGAAUCGCCAAUCUGUGCUUGGUGCAAUCACAUCUGCUCAGCAGAGGCUUAAGCUCUACAACAAGGUUCCACCAAAUGGGCUUGUUCUUUACACUGGAACAAUUGUGACUGAUGAUGGGAAAGAGAAGAAGGUUACAAUUGAUUUUGAGCCAUUCAAGCCCAUUAAUGCAUCACUCUAUCUUUGUGAUAACAAGUUCCACACUGAAGCCCUGAAUGAACUUUUGGAAUCUGAUGACAAAUUUGGAUUUAUCGUGAUGGAUGGGAAUGGGACUCUUUUUGGGACAUUGAGUGGCAACACGCGUGAGGUCCUUCAUAAAUUUAGUGUUGAUCUGCCCAAGAAACACGGAAGAGGAGGACAAUCAGCCUUGCGUUUUGCUCGUCUCCGGAUGGAGAAGCGACACAACUAUGUGAGGAAAACAGCAGAGCUUGCAACCCAAUUUUAUAUAAAUCCUGCCACCAGUCAGCCCAAUGUCUCCGGCCUGAUACUAGCUGGUUCUGCUGACUUUAAAACAGAGCUCAGUCAAUCUGAUAUGUUUGAUCCUCGUCUUCAGGCUAAGAUUCUAAAUGUGGUUGAUGUUUCUUAUGGAGGGGAAAAUGGUUUUAACCAAGCAAUUGAGCUGUCUGCUGAGAUCUUAGCCAAUGUGAAGUUUAUACAAGAGAAGAAAUUGAUAGGCAAGUACUUUGAGGAGAUUAGUCAGGACACUGGGAAGUACGUCUUUGGGGUGGAUGAUACGUUAAAAGUUCUGGAAAUGGGUGCUAUUGAGACACUUAUUGUGUGGGAAAAUCUGGAUAUUAUGAGGUAUGUGCUGAAAAAUAGCGGUUCUGGAGAAACAGUUAUCAGACACUUCAACAAGGAGCAGGAGGCUGAUCAGAGUAACUUCCGUGAUCCUGCUACAAAUGCAGAAUUAGAGGUUCAGGAAAAAUUGUCACUGCUUGAGUGGUUUGCUAAUGAGUACAGGAAAUUUGGUUGUAGUCUGGAAUUUGUCACCAACAAGUCACAAGAAGGAUCUCAAUUUUGCCGAGGUUUUGGUGGUAUUGGAGGACUCCUCCGUUAUCAGCUUGAUGUUCGAGCUUUUGAUGAGCUUUCUGAUGAUGGUGAGGUUUACGAAGACUCUGACUAGCAAUUACCAACUUCUCAAAUACCAGUGCAGAAGUUGAGCGGGAAAGCCUGUACUGGUGUGCAAGGGCUGUCGCCUUAUUUGUCCGCUCAUGUUCCAAGUGAAAUAUUUCUAAGAGCUCUUAAGAUGGAUGAUCUGCACGGCGAACCUAAAUUGGCAUCAAUUCCAUCCUGCGCUUGUCGAAUCCCGUUCAGUUUCCAAGUGAUUCAGUCUGUUGAAAGAAUGGAGAAUUAAAAACAAGCAGUGUGGCUGUUAUUUUCCUGUUGAAGAUGGAGAACAUCAAAAACUUUAUGCUAUGCUCUUCUUGGAGGAGUGAUGCAUAUGAAAUUAUGAAUAAUGCUAUUUAUAUUUUCUAUGAAGUGAUUAUGACUCUACGCAUGUAUUGGAGUAUUUAAUUUCGAUGAUUAUUUAAAGUUGUGGGAUCUUUUAUGAAUAUGGUAUGUUGACGAGAUC